CUUAGUUUAGCUAUUGAUCAGGGACUAGUAUGAACUAUGGCUGGAUUUUGGUCGUUGCCCGCCGUGCUAUGGCCGGAUAUAGUCGCCUGCGACAGUGUCACGGCCAGAUCCAGUGUCUACGAUAUAGCGGUAUUGGGCACUGAUGCUUCUAGCAGCUCCAACCGCAGGGAGCACCGAAUCCGCACCUCCAGCCGAGGUAUGCAGCUCCGGCUGCUAGGGACCACCAGCUCAGAGCAUUUUCAGCAUUUGAUGAGAAGGGGAAGCUCCUGAUUUGAGGUGGAAAUGAUGCAUCUGUAAAGUUCAGAACAAGAUAUAGAGAUGUGAAGUUGCCGCAGCAAUGUCGGAAGGAGUGAAUGUUGCCUGACCAUCAUUGUCAAGUUGGCCCCGACUUUGGUGUCCAGAGAUGUGAAACCAAGCCCGCCACAGCUAGCUAUGUGAAGUGAUAAUCCAAGAUUAUUGGUUAGUUCUUUGCCUUAUCAGUUGUGGGACUGAAAGGAUCCGCUAAACUAUUUACAACUUUCAGUUAGGACAAAUAUUUCUUCGCUGUGAUAUUUUUGUACUUUGAUAGGCUGCUAGCUAGACUCGGCAUGUAUAUCUUUGUUGUAUGGUGAAAUGAGUUUAUUGUUUGGGGAAAAAGCUUGUUUGAGCUGGCAGACAUGAUGUUUGUUCUUGAACAGUUGUUUUUGGUUAUUAUAUGCACAAUGCAUCGUUGUAUAGGUAACAGUUGUUUCUUGAACACACGGAAUUGUUGUUUCUUACAAAGGCAU